rnacentral:rRNA from 1 species
GACGAACGCUGGCGGCGUGCUUAGCACAUGCAAGUCGAACGGAAAGGCCCUGCUUUUGUGGGGUGCUCGAGUGGCGAACGGGUGAGUAACACGUGAGUAACCUGCCCUUGACUUUGGGAUAACUUCAGGAAACUGGGGCUAAUACCGGAUAGGAGCUCCUGCUGCAUGGUGGGGGUUGGAAGUUUCGGCGGUUGGGGAUGGACUCGCGGCUUAUCAGCUUGUUGGUGGGGUAGUGGCUUACCAAGGCUUUGACGGGUAGCCGGCCUGAGAGGGUGACCGGCCACAUUGGGACUGAGAUACGGCCCAGACUCCUACGGGAGGCAGCAGUGGGGAAUAUUGCACAAUGGGCGGAAGCCUGAUGCAGCAACGCCGCGUGCGGGAUGACGGCCUUCGGGUUGUAAACCGCUUUCGCCUGUGACGAAGCGUGAGUGACGGUAAUGGGUAAAGAAGCACCGGCUAACUACGUG